rnacentral:misc_RNA from 1 species
GGUUUAUCAAGUUCUUGGGUCCUUACUACAUGCUGCUUAUUACACAAAGGAGGCCGAUUGGUGCUAUCUGUGGCCACAUUGUGUAUGCUGUCACCAAGAGCGACAUGUUUAUGAUUCCUAAUUCUUCUGUGCUGUCCAAUAUGGUUGAUAUGAGAAGUGAAAACAGGUACAGGAAACUCCUCUCUGCAGUGGAUCUUACAAAGGACUUCUUUUUCAGCUACUCUUAUCACAUCAUGCGUAGCCUUCAAAAAAAUUUAAGUCAUCACGAGUCUGGGCAAGUUUUGUAUGAGACAUUGUUUGUCUGGAAUGAAUUCUUGACACGUGGAAUUCGAA